GCCCGGAUGGCGGAAUGGCAGACGCGGCGGUCUCAAAAACCGCUACCGAAAGGUGUGCGGGUUCGACUCCCGCUCCGGGCACCA
rnacentral:tRNA from 1 species